CAGUCGCCACGGGAAUACGUAGGUGGCAAGCGUUGUCCGGAAUUAUUGGGCGUACAGGGCUCGCAGGCGGUUUCUUAAGUCUGAUGUGAAAGCCCCCGGCUCAACCGGGGAGGGUCAUUGGAAACUGGGAAACUUGAGUGCAGAAGAGGAGAGUGGAAUUCCACGUGUAGCGGUGAAAUGCGUAGAGAUGUGGAGGAACACCAGUGGCGAAGGCGACUCUCUGGUCUGCAACUGACGCUGAGGAGCGAAAGCGUGGGGAGCGAACAGGAUUAGAUACCCGCGUAGUCCCUGUCUCUUAUAU
rnacentral:rRNA from 1 species